rnacentral:tRNA from 1 species
GCGGCCGUAGUCUAGCCUGGUCUAGGAUGGCGGCCUUCCGAUCCAGGCGGAGCAGAAAGCCGCAGAACCCGGGUUCGAAUCCCGGCGGCCGCA